CCUACGGGAGGCAGCAGUGGGGAAUAUUGGGCAAUGGGCGCAAGCCUGACCCAGCAACGCCGCGUGAAGGAAGAAGGCUUUCGGGUUGUAAACUUCUUUUAAUGGGGAAGCGGAGCAGACGAUACCCCUUCAAUCAGCCACGGCUAACUACGUACCAGCAGCCGCGGUAAUACGUAGGUGGCAAGCGUUGUCCGGAUUUACUGGGUGUAAAGGGCGUGCAGCCGGGAGGACAAGUCAGAUGUGAAAUCCCGCGGCUCAACCGCGGAACUGCAUUUGAAACUGUUUUUCUUGAGUACCGGAGAGGUCAUCGGAAUUCCUUGUGUAGGGGUGAAAUGCGUAGAGAUAAGGAAGAACACCAGUGGCGAAGGCGGAUGACUGGACGGUAACUGACGGUGAGGCGCGAAAGCGUGGGGAGCAAACAGGAUUAGAUACCCGGGUAGUC
rnacentral:rRNA from 1 species